CUUUCCGUGAGAGGCACGGUGUACUGGUGUGAGAGGGCUGCCGAUGACGUUGCACCUUCAAGCAUAUCCACAGCGCUCGGCAUCUCCAGCACCUUCCCUUUUCGAGUACUAGACCUCCGCGUGCGCCUGUGGCUUUACGUGUGUCAAUGAAACUUUCACCGUGUCCUCUGGCGCACCGUUGAUCUUACUCGUAUCGAUUCGUAUCGUAGUUUCGCGCUUUUCGCACUUCUAUUCUACACAUGCAGUCUUCAACCGUCACAGCCGCGUUGCAGGAUGCGCUGGAGAAGGGCGACAUUGUCGAGCUGGAGCAGGCCAUCACGGCCGCCGAGGACGCAAUCCACGUGUCUGCCUAUUCUCGUAAGACGCCCUCCUCUCCUCUGGGCCGUCUGAUCGCCCGGGCCAAGAACAUGUAUCUCGUUCACAUGAAUGCAUGCAAGGUCUAUGUGGAGCCACUGCGGGAGGCGUGUAAGAGGCUGAGUGAGCGUGGCAUCUUUGAAGCCCUCGUCAAGGCCCGUGGCGCACCGGAUGAGGUGCAGCUGUGCAUGUACACCGACCUGUGCAACGCCGAGUCGCUGCGGCGCGAAAUCAUCGAGGCGCAGAGAUUAGCCGUGCAGCUGAUGGACUCGACGAGCGCACAGGAGGUGGACGAUUUUCUCACCGAGUGCUCGCCCUUCCUCGAGGAUCGCACUAUCUUGGCCCUUGUUCAGAGGCGCGAGGACCUCAUACGCGAGACGCGACGGCACACGCUUGGGAGAACGACUACAACACCGCUGCGUGCUGGUGCCACUAAAUUAGUGCUGAAUCCCUCCGGGCAUGAGCGGAACCACCGCGACCCGCCCGAGUGUCCCCGUCGCUUUGGGUUGGAGGACGAUUGCGUGUCGCCCGGCACUGGACGCCAUACGCGGUCGGCGUACUGCAGCAGCAACGGUGACGGCCCCACCAGCUACGGCGGACGCGCCGUUUGUAGUGAACCCUCAGAGGAAGUCGCCAGCACCUCGAGCAGCGCUCGCGCAGCGUACCCGGCGCUGUGCGAUGCGCUGGAGAAGGCUCGAGAUAGUGGUCUGGAGCGCGCCAUCAUGGAAGGGGCAUCGCCGUGGAUGCAGACAGUGCGUGCUCUGCGGCAGCAGGCCUACGAGACGGUGGUUUACCACGAGCACAAUACCCGUCGGCAGCUGGAAGACGCUGAGGAGGAGGGGCGGGCAGAGCUGUACCGAAGCGAGAUGCUCUCCCGCGUGCGGCGCUGGACGGCGGCAGCUGAGGUUUUUUUUGCCCACCAUGGCGAGGAAAAAGCUGCACCUAAAGGUGGCGGCGAGGCCGGCUCAACGCCGCGGAGGCCGGUGCCACCACUUGCAACAGCCUUCCCCGCGCCGUCGCUGGCGUGCCUGUCGUCCCCGCCCGCCUCCAGGUCGCAAGCGGCGACAGUGGCGGCAGCCGACACAGCAAACCAACCGCUGACGCGAGUGCACGCGACAAACUCGCUUUCAGCAUACGCUUUUCACUCCGGGGCGCGGACGCUUACCCCGACGCGUUACUCUCGCGCUGGCGCCGAGGCGACGGUGGAGGGGGCCGUCUUUGGCAGCGGCGUCCGUCACCGCGUUGCAGAGGAGUUGCACACGCCGCGUCUGUCCCGCGAUACGCCGAACAUCUCACCCAUCAAGGAUAUGAGCACGACGAGCGGUGUGGCGUCUUGGUCCGAGCAGGAUCCGCUGUAUCACCGUGACAAGGCGAAGGCCGAGUGGAGCGACGCGCCAGAACGCGGAACGCCUCGCGGAAAGGUCUCGGAAGGCAGCGCCAGCGCGGUAGCGGCCAUACUCGCCGGGUCGUCGACCGCAACCGCCAUGUUGCCGUCGCUAGAGCUGCGUCGCAUCCAGGCACGACUUCGAGCCGUGCUUCAAGAGGAGGACAUUCACCGCCGUGACAUCGAAGGCACCGAAGACUUCGACCGCAGCGUGUUCCUGUUCCCGGUAUCUGCUCGCAUUGCCCUGCUUCGACGCACAGAGGCUCAACGAGUGCGCGCAUUUUGAGCCCCACCCCUGCCCCUCUCCUGCGUGAAGACGCACGGGGCCAUAUGCGUGUGAGUAUGUGUAGGAUUCCGAGCGCACGAUGCUGCGCAGCUUUUCGAGUGUUUCAUCAAACGCAUCCCGUUCACGUCUCGUCGGGCUCGUGAAUAGCACCAACCACACCAAACGAGGCGUAAGGAAAACAGCCAAAGCAGAUUCCGCGUUGCGCUGCUACUGGCUGCCCGCCGGUCUCUUUUCCUCCACGCAGCCGCGCGUCUCUGCUCAUGUGUAUGUGCAGCAUGUGCAAAACAGCACAGCAUGAACAUGUACAGGCCACUUCGAGCGGCAGACAUGCGACUGUGAGGGACCAAACAAGUUCGGCUUUUGCUUUUUGUUGGUGCAUUGUGAUGUCGCCCUGAGGACGGCAGCCGGAGAAGGCGAGCUGGUUCGCGGCGGAGAGAGAACCAGUGCCUGUGCGAGGCCUCGACCGGCCUCGUAGCGUCCUCUCGCAUUCGUUGCUCGCCCAGCACACCAUCCUUCACCCCCUCCUCCACUGCUUUACGUCCUCCUGCCUCCCGUGCGCUUGGCAUGCCCGCGUGUUUUGCUCUUGACUCCCACGCUCACAUGCGCUGCCCCACGCCACAUGACACGCGCCUUCAUGUACGCAUGUGCCGUUCCGUUUGCUUCGAUCCUACCAACUCACACACACGUACGCGCACACGACAAG
rnacentral:misc_RNA from 1 species